rnacentral:tRNA from 1 species
GGGGUUGUGGCUCAGAGGUAGAGCACUCGCUUUGCACAUGUGAGGCCCUGGGUUCAAUCCUCAGCACCACA